rnacentral:rRNA from 1 species
UACGGGGGGGGCAAGCGUUGUUCGGAAUUACUGGGCGUAAAGGGCGCGUAGGCGGCGCGAGUAGUCAACGGUGAAAGCCCGGGGCUCAACCCCGGGUCGGCCGUCGAUACUCUCGUGCUUGAGCACUGUAGAGGCAGGUGGAAUUCCGGGUGUAGCGGUGGAAUGCGUAGAGAUCCGGAGGAAUACCAGAGGCGAAGGCGGCAUCCUGGCCUGUUACUGACACUGAGACGCGAAAGCAUGGGGAGCGAACGGGG